GAUGAACGCUGGCGGCGUGCCUAAUACAUGCAAGUCGAGCGAACAGACGAGGAGCUUGCUCCUCUGACGUUAGCGGCGGACGGGUGAGUAACACGUGGAUAACCUACCUAUAAGACUGGGAUAACUUCGGGAAACCGGAUCUAAUACCGGAUAAUAUAUUGAACCGCAUGGUUCAAUAGUGAAAGACGGUUUUGCUGUCACUUAUAGAUGGAUCCGCGUCGGAUUAGCUAGUUGGUAAGGUAACGGCUUACCAAGGCAACGAUGCGUAGCCGACCUGAGAGGGUGAUCAGCCACACUGGAACUGAGACACGGUCCAGACUCCUACGGGAGGCAGCAGUGGGGAAUCUUGCGCAAUGGGCGAAAGCCUGAUGGAGCAACGCCGCGUGAGUGAUGAAGGUCUUCGGAUCGUAAAGCUCUGUUAUUAGGGAAGAACAAAUGUGUAAGUAACUAUGGCCGUCUUGACGGUACCUAAUCAGAAAGCCACGGCUAACUACGUG
rnacentral:rRNA from 1 species